GAUCGCNGNCUANCAUGCAAGUCGAACGGUAACAGCACUUCGGUGGCUGACGAGUGGCGCACGGGUGCGUAACGCGUAUACAAUCUACCUUUUACAGGGGGAUAGCCCAGAGAAAUUUGGAUUAAUACCCCAUGGCAUAUACUUAUGGCAUCAUAUUUAUAUUAAAGAUUCAUCGGUAAGAGAUGAGUAUGCGUUCUAUUAGCUAGUUGGUGCGGUAACGGCGCACCAAGGCUACGAUAGAUAGGGGCCCUGAGAGGGGGAUCCCCCACACUGGUACUGAGACACGGACCAGACUCCUACGGGAGGCAGCAGUGAGGAAUAUUGGACAAUGGGCGAGAGCCUGAUCCAGCCAUGCCGCGUGCAGGAAGACUGCCCUAUGGGUUGUAAACUGCUUUUAUACGGGAAGAAACACCCCCUCGUGAGGGGGCUUGACGGUACCGUAAGAAUAAGGAUCGGCUAACUCCGUGCCAGCAGCCGCGGUAAUACGGAGGAUCCAAGCGUUAUCCGGAAUCAUUGGGUUUAAAGGGUCCGUAGGUGGACGGUUAAGUCAGAGGUGAAAUCCUGCAGCUCAACUGUAGAAUUGCCUUUGAUACUGGUCGUCUUGAGUCAUUGUGAAGUGGUUGGAAUAUGUAGUGUAGCGGUGAAAUGCAUAGAUAUUACAUAGAACACCGAUUGCGAAGGCAGAUCACUAACAAUGUACUGACACUGAUGGACGAAAGCGUGGGGAGCGAACAGGAUUAGAUACCCUGGUAGUCCACGCCGUAAACGAUGGUCACUAGCUGUCCGGACUUCGGUCUGGGUGGCUAAGCGAAAGUGAUAAGUGACCCACCUGGGGAGUACGUUCGCAAGA
rnacentral:rRNA from 1 species